UACGUAGGGUGCAAGCGUUAAUCGGAAUUACUGGGCGUAAAGCGUGCGCAGGCGGUUAUGCAAGACAGAUGUGAAAUCCCCGGGCUCAACCUGGGAACUGCAUUUGUGACUGCAUGGCUAGAGUACGGUAGAGGGGGAUGGAAUUCCGCGUGUAGCAGUGAAAUGCGUAGAUAUGCGGAGGAACACCGAUGGCGAAGGCAAUCCCCUGGACCUGUACUGACGCUCAUGCACGAAAGCG
rnacentral:rRNA from 1 species